UACGGAGGGUGCAAGCGUUAUCCGGAUUCACUGGGUUUAAAGGGUGCGUAGGCGGGCAGGUAAGUCCGUGGUGAAAUCUCUGAGCUUAACUCAGAAACUGCCAUGGAUACUAUUUGUCUUGAAUGUUGUGGAGGUAAGCGGAAUAUGUCAUGUAGCGGUGAAAUGCUUAGAUAUGACAUAGAACACCCAUUGCGAAGGCAGCUUACUAAACGAUCAUUGACGCUGAGGCACGAAAGCGUGGGGAUCAAACAGG
rnacentral:rRNA from 1 species